rnacentral:lncRNA from 1 species
GGGGAUUGUAGUAUGUAACCAAAACAAGAAUGUAAGAACUGAAAAUAGCAAAAUAAAGAGAGAUUGUCACGUGUGUUGUAAACAAUGAGAAUUGAGGCGUUGGGGUUAUGUCCACCUUCUGAGGUAUACGUCUCUAUUGGCUAUGAGUGUGUAGAGUCUUGACAUGUAAUUGCUUAUAGAGAAUUGUAGUCGAUGGUAAAUCCAAGCGUCUCUCGACCUAAACAAGGACUAUUUCACUUUAACUCUCUCGAGCUUAAAGCGUGACUAACGGUACGAAUUCUCCAAGAAGUUAGUCCAGGUACGGCACUAUCUUUUUAAUAGGAAAGGGUGUCCUACUACCUUGACAUUAUCUCUUUUCCAGACAAAUAACUUUUCUCUCGAACAAGUCAGAUGUUAGACUGGCGUUGGUCUAUGCGUCUUCUUUUCUAGACAAAUAACCUUUCUCUCGAACAGGUUAGAUGUUAGAAUGGCGUGUUC